rnacentral:rRNA from 1 species
GACGAACGCUGGCGGCGUGCCUAAUACAUGCAAGUCGAACGCUUCUUUCCUCCCGAGUGCUUGCACUCAAUUGGAAAGGGGAGUGGCGGACGGGUGAGUAACACGUGGGUAACCUACCCAUCAGAGGGGGAUAACACUUGGAAACAGGUGCUAAUACCGCAUAACAGUUUAUGCCGCAUGGCAUAAGAGUGAAAGGCGCUUUCGGGGGUCGCUGCGGGAUGGAUCCGCGGUGCAUUAGCUAGUUGGUGAGGUAACGGCCCACCAAGGCCACGAUGCAUAGCCGACCUGAGAGGGUGAUCGGCCACACUGGGACUGAGACACGGCCCAGACUCCUACGGGAGGCAGCAGUAGGGAAUCUUCGGCAAUGGACGAAAGCCUGACCGAGCAACGCCGCGUGAGUGAAGAAGGUUUUCGGAUCGUAAAACUCUGUUGUUAGGGAAGAACAAGGGCGUUAGUAACUGAACGUCCCCUGACGGUAUCUAACCAGAAAGCCACGGCUAACUACGUG